UGGGGAAUAUUGGGCAAUGGAGGAAACUCUUACCCAGCAAUGCCGCGUGAGUGAAGAAGGUCUUCGGAUUGUAAAGCUCUUUGAUUGGGGACGAAAAAAAUGACGGUACCCAAAGAACAAGCCCCGGCUAACUCUGUGCCAGCAGCCGCGGUAAUACAGAGGGGGCAAGCGUUGUCCGGAAUGACUGGGCGUAAAGGGUGUGUAGGCGGCUUAGCAAGUUAGAAGUGAAAUACCUAGUGCUUAACACAGGUGCUGCUUCUAAAACUGUUGAGCUUGAGUGUGGGAGAGGUAAGUGGAAUUCCUAGUGUAGCGGUGGAAUGCGUAGAUAUUAGGAGGAACACCAGUGGCGAAGGCGACUUACUGGACCAUAACUGACGCUGAGGCACGAAAGCGUGGGGAGCAAACA
rnacentral:rRNA from 1 species